UACGUAGGGUGCGAGCGUUGUCCGGAAUUAUUGGGCGUAAAGAGCUCGUAGGCGGUGUGUCGCGUCGGCCGUGAAAACCUGGGGCUCAACUCUGGGCGUGCGGUCGAUACGGGCAUCACUUGAGUUCGGCAGGGGAGACUGGAAUUCCUGGUGUAGCGGUGAAAUGCGCAGAUAUCAGGAGGGAACACCGGUGGCGAAGGCGGGUCUCUGGGCCGAUACUGACACUCGAACUACGAAAGCGUGGGGAGCAAACAGG
rnacentral:rRNA from 1 species